AGGCAUGUCAAACCGAGGUCCAAAUAGUGUCCGUGCAGCCUUCUGAAGAGCACACCGACACAGAGGAAUUGGAUGAAGAAAAACUUCAGUGUCCUAUCUGUAACUUGAAAUUUGCACCUUAUUUCCUUGAAAUCCAUGCAAGCACAUGCGGAGAAAGAAGCAAAAAUGUAAUAGACGUGGAUGAAAUUGAGGAGAACAUAGUAGAAGAGGACCAUAUGAAAAGUGUCGACGAUGUGUUGGAUGCGAUUUGUCAAAGAGUUGAUGUGGAGAAGCAGUUCAGCAUCCUUAUUUCAAGAACAAACAUUCUGGAGAGAGGCCUUCUGCAGUGGCAACGUCAAAAAAAAAAUUCACCCACUGCCAUGUUGAAGGUGUCCUUCUUUGGGGAAGCAGGAAUCGACACUGGUGCCCUUCGAAAAGAAUUUCUCACAGGUGAACUUAAAGAGAUCAAUUACUUUUCCAUUCGUAUUAUUU